CAACCGCUCUGACUCGGGUGUUUCCGGGUGUUAUCGGGACGAAAUCUGACAAGCGACAGAUCUGGUCUAGGCGCUGGACAACACGGACGUAUCAAGCCAAACCAAUCUACCUCGAACCACUAUCAGCAAAACGUUCACUGAAAGCACUUGAAGAUGGCGGCAAUACGAAGUUGGCUGGCGGCGGUAUCACUUUGUCUCAUGAUAAACAUAGUUGACAUGAGGAUAGAAAACUGCUGGACAAACAGCCAGUGCGGGUCAUGCUCCUCCACACAACCCAAUGCUUUCGGUCCGGGCACUGUGUGCUGCCCGAGCUGUACUCCCGGCGUCCUGCAGAUGGUUGAAGGCGGGACGUGCACGUGCGACAUUUCCGUUGCAGCCCUGCCUGUGAGAGUGUCCGUCAUUGCAUCCGCAAUCACACUGACACUGUCCAUCUGCCUGAAACAUCUCCUGCAUUGAACCCACCCUACUAAAACUAAGCAUCUUCCGGACCCAUCCCCUGCAUUAGAGCCUGGUCAGAUGAGCCUCCAACAUCUCCUACAUUGAAACCUGAUCCUACAAACACUGUCUGCCUGAAACACCUCCUGCAUUGAAACCUGAUCCUCCAGACACUAUCUGCCUGAAACAUCUCCUACAUUGAAACCUGAUCCUGCAGACAGUAUCUGCCUGAAACAUCUGCUACAAUGACACCUGAUCCUACAGACACUGUCUGCCUGAAACACCUCCUGCAAUGAAACCUGAUCCUACAGACACUGUCUGCCUGAAACACCUCCUGCAAUGAAACCUGAUCCUACAGACACUGUCUGCCUGAAACAUCUCCUACAUUGAAACCUGAUCCUGCAGACACUAUCUGCCUGAAACAUCUGCUACAAUGACACCUGAUUCUACAGACACUGUCUGAUUGAAACACCUCCUGCAAUGAAACCUGAUCCUUCAGACACUAUCUGCCUGAAACAUCUCCCACAAUGAAACCUGAUCCUACAGACACAGUGUCUAUCUGCCUGAAACAUCUCCUAUAAUGAAACCUGAUCCUACAGACACUGUCUGCCUGAAACAUCUCCUGCAAUGAAACCUGAUCCUACAGACACUGUCUGCAUGAAACACUUCCUGCAAUGGAACCUGAUCCUGCAGACACUAUCUGCCUGAAACAUCUCCUACAAUAACACCUGUUUCACAGACACUACCUGAAACACCUCCUGCAAUGAAACCUGAUCAUGCAGACACUAUCUGCCUGAAAAUCUCCCACAAUGAAACCUGAUCCUACAGACACUGUCUACAUGAAACAUCUCCUACAAUAACACCUGAUCCUACAGACACUAUUUGUCUGAAACACCUCCCACAAUGAAACCUGAUCCUACAUACACUAUCUGCCUGAAACAUCUCCUACAAUGGAACCUGAUCCUACAGACACUUUCUGUCUAAAACACCUCCUGCAAUGAAACCUGAUCCUACAGACACUGUCUAUCUGCCUGAAACAUCUCCUAAAAUGAAACCUGAUCCUACAGACACUAUCUGCCUGAAACGUUUGGUGCAUCUCGACCUGCAUUCGCUUACCACACUCCCAUCUUUUCUGGACAUAGGGAACGUUGCUGGAAUCUAAGAUCGACUGGUUUGUUUCCAAUGCAACCUGAUCCUGUGUUUCUAUCCAGUAAUCUGGGAUGUUCCAGGUGCUCUGUUUUAAAAUGCGUGGUGUUUUAGAAGCCAUGUGGACGUUAUGUAGAUGACUCCCAAGCAGUGCAUCAAGUUUGUAUGUUGCUUUGUAAUAGGCGGAUCCAGAGGCUUGUGAUAUCCUGCCCCCACCACCCCCACCCCCACCCCCUCCCUUUUCAAAAUGCUGGACCCGCCCUUGUUUUUAUAAUGUAACGAAGUUGUAAAUCCUUUGUAUUGAGUCAAAUUUAUACUACUUUCUACUCGACAGACUCCUAUUUGUUUGAAAAUAUAUAUUAAAAGGUUCCUUUUUGUAUGUA